rnacentral:rRNA from 1 species
UACGGAGGAGGCAAGCGUUAUCCGGAAUUACUGGGCGUAAAGCGUGCGUAGGCGGUUCGUUAAGUUCGUUGUGAAAGCCCCGGGCUUAACUUGGGAAUUGCGCUCGAAACUACGUGGCUGGAGUAUGGCAGAGGAAGGUGGAAUUCCACGUGUAGCGGUGAAAUGCGUAGAGAUGUGGAGGAACACCGAUGGCGAAGGCAGCCUUCUGGGCCAAUACUGACGCUCAUGCACGAAAGCGUGGGGAGCAAACAGG